rnacentral:rRNA from 1 species
GCCAGACUCCUACGGGAGGCAGCAGUGGGGGAUAUUGCACAAUGGGGGAAACCCUGAUGCAGCGACGCCGCGUGGGCGAAGAAGUAUUUCGGUAUGUAAAGCCCUAUCAGCAGGGAAGAAGAAAUGACGGUACCUGAGUAAGAAGCACCGGCUAAAUACGUGCCAGCAGCCGCGGUAAUACGUAUGGUGCAAGCGUUAUCCGGAUUUACUGGGUGUAAAGGGAGCGCAGGCGGCACGGCAAGCCUGAUGUGAAAGCCCGGGGCCCAACCCCGGGACUGCUCUUGGAACUGCGUGGCUGGAGUGCAGGAGGGGCAGGCGGAAUUCCUGGUGUAGCGGUGAAAUGCGUAGAUAUCAGGAGGAACACCGGCGGCGAAGGCGGCCUGCUGGACCGAAACUGACGUUGAGGCUCGAAAGCGUGGGGAGCAAACAGGAUUAGAUACCCCCGUAUGA